GACGAACGCUGGCGGCGUGCUUAACACAUGCAAGUCGAACGGAAAGGCCCUGCUUUUGUGGGGUGCUCGAGUGGCGAACGGGUGAGUAACACGUGAGUAACCUGCCCUUGACUUUGGGAUAACUUCAGGAAACUGGGGCUAAUACUGGAUAGGAGCUCCUGCUGCAUGGUGGGGGUUGGAAAGUUUCGGCGGUUGGGGAUGGACUCGCGGCUUAUCAGCUUGUUGGUGGGGUAGUGGCUUACCAAGGCUUUGACGGGUAGCCGGCCUGAGAGGGUGACCGGCCACAUUGGGACUGAGAUACGGCCCAGACUCCUACGGGAGGCAGCAGUGGGGAAUAUUGCACAAUGGGCGGAAGCCUGAUGCAGCAACGCCGCGUGCGGGAUGACGGCCUUCGGGUUGUAAACCGCUUUCGCCUGUGACGAAGCGUGAGUGACGGUAAUGGGUAAAGAAGCACCGGCUAACUACGUGCCAGCAGCCGCGGUGAUACGUAGGGUGCGAGCGUUGUCCGGAUUUAUUGGGCGUAAAGGGCUCGUAGGUGGUUGAUCGCGUCGGAAGUGUAAUCUUGGGGCUUAACCCUGAGCGUGCUUUCGAUACGGGUUGACUUGAGGAAGGUAGGGGAGAAUGGAAUUCCUGGUGGAGCGGUGGAAUGCGCAGAUAUCAGGAGGAACACCAGUGGCGAAGGCGGUUCUCUGGGCCUUUCCUGACGCUGAGGAGCGAAAGCGUGGGGAGCGAACAGGCUUAGAUACCCUGGUAGUCCACGCUGUAAACGGUGGGUACUAGGUGUGGGGUCCAUUCCACGGGUUCCGUGCCGUAGCUAACGCUUUAAGUACCCCGCCUGGGGAGUACGGCCGCAAGGCUAAAACUCAAAGGAAUUGACGGGGCCCCGCACAAGCGGCGGAGCAUGCGGAUUAAUUCGAUGCAACGCGUAGAACCUUACCUGGGUUUGACAUGGAUCGGGAGUGCUCAGAGAUGGGUGUGCCUCUUUUGGGGUCGGUUCACAGGUGGUGCAUGGCUGUCGUCAGCUCGUGUCGUGAGAUGUUGGGUUAAGUCCCGCAACGAGCGCAACCCUUGUUCACUGUUGCCAGCACGUUAUGGUGGGGACUCAGUGGAGACCGCCGGGGUCAACUCGGAGGAAGGUGGGGAUGACGUCAAGUCAUCAUGCCCCUUAUGUCCAGGGCUUCACGCAUGCUACAAUGGCUGGUACAGAGAGUGGCGAGCCUGUGAGGGUGAGCGAAUCUCGGAAAGCCGGUCUCAGUUCGGAUUGGGGUCUGCAACUCGACCUCAUGAAGUCGGAGUCGCUAGUAAUCGCAGAUCAGCAACGCUGCGGUGAAUACGUUCCCGGG
rnacentral:rRNA from 1 species